UAGGGAAUCUUCCACAAUGGACGCAAGUCUGAUGGAGCAACGCCGCGUGAGUGAAGAAGGUUUUCGGAUCGUAAAGCUCUGUUGUUGGUGAAGAAGGAUAGAGGCAGUAACUGGUCUUUAUUUGACGGUAAUCAACCAGAAAGUCACGGCUAACUACGUGCCAGCAGCCGCGGUAAUACGUAGGUGGCAAGCGUUGUCCGGAUUUAUUGGGCGUAAAGCGAGCGCAGGCGGAAUGAUAAGUCUGAUGUGAAAGCCCACGGCUCAACCGUGGAACUGCAUCGGAAACUGUCAUUCUUGAGUGCAGAAGAGGAGAGUGGAAUUCCAUGUGGAGCGGUGGAAUGCGUAGAUAUAUGGAAGAAAACCAGUGGCGAAGGCGGCUCUAUGGUCUGCAACUGACGCUGAGGCUCGAAAGCAUGGGUAGCGAACAGG
rnacentral:rRNA from 1 species